UACAGAGGUCUCAAGCGUUGUUCGGAUUCAUUGGGCGUAAAGGGUGCGUAGGCGGCGCGGUAAGUCGGGUGUGAAAUCUCGGGGCUUAACUCCGAAACUGCAUUCGAUACUGCCGCGCUUGAGGACUGGAGAGGAGACUGGAAUUUACGGUGUAGCGGUGAAAUGCGUAGAUAUCGUAAGGAAGACCAGUGGCGAAGGCGGGUCUCUGGACAGUUACUGACACUGAGGCACGAAGGCCAGGGGAGCAAACGGG
rnacentral:rRNA from 1 species